rnacentral:lncRNA from 10 species
UCUGCAGGGCUUCCAUAUUGGUCAUGGAUUUGGAUGGUGAGAAGAGCUGAGACAGACGGCACAGGUUCUCAGGAUGCUUGAGGCAGGCUGAGCUCCACGAGCAGAGACCAGGCUGAUGCAUGCUCCACAUCUUGCAUGCUUUGCUUAAAGAAUGAGCGAAAGGAGUAAAUGAAAUUGGUUCUUUCAAAGCAACAAGAACAUUUGUGACAUAUCUGCUAAGGUGGUGAGGGACAAAGAUGAAGGACUGCAGAGCUGUCUCAUAGGCUCCUUUGAGCAAAGCAUUCCUCCUCCAG